GUGCGACAUUGUUUUUUUUUCUUUUUGUGUGGCGUAAUUUUUCUCCUCUUGCUCAACAUUAUAUUCCUCUGGUAUUCCAUCAGUUUUCUUCUCUUCUCUUGCAGUUUAUAUCCCCACUUUUGCAAUGACAUUUCUUUUUCAGUCUGAUCUAGUGGUUUCGACUACUAUGGGUGAUGUUUCAUGAGUAGCAUUAUUUCCGGUUUCUUCAGAUUGGGCAUC
rnacentral:lncRNA from 1 species